CAGCUUUGAAUCCCCAAUCUACACAGCUCACUCUACUGCAUCGGCUGUGGCGGCUGAAUACUCUCUUCUUUAGCUCGAUAAUUUAUUGCGAUUUUGUAGUUCUAGAGCUCGAACAAUAGCGAAGCUAUGAAUUUUUGCCCCAUUUCAACGUUUCACGGUGAGUUCCGAGCUGUGCGGUUUCAAUUUACAGACCUCUCUAAGCUUUCUCGAUCAGAUCUCUCUUGAUUCGUCGGAAAUCGAAGUUCUCCGUAUUCUGUUUGUCGGUUUCUCUCUCUUUACGAUAUUUCAUCGGAAGUGAGAGAGAGAAUGCGGCGAUGGCUCCAUUUCGAGUCAGCAGCAGGUGCCAAUUUCUCAUGGCGACCCGUCUGCCGCUUGGAGCCUAAAUCAAUUCAACCGGUUUGAAGAUCCACGAAACCCUAAUUUUUUCCCGUUGUUUCUUGAUACAAUAAACCGGCUUCAUUUUCUAAAUUAUCGAUUAUUUUAUUUUCUACUUGCUAAUUUCUUUGCGUAAUUUUUUUUUUCAAAAUGAUGAAAAAUUUGUCGAAAUUGGAAUGAAGAAAGGCACUCCAGUCAGACACGGGUUGUUUGUAUUGAAUUUCAACGACAAACCACCUUUUGCAUGGUGCCGAAAUUCAGCUACUUAUCACGAUUGGAGCGAAGCUCUUUUUCACAGUUUCUCUUCAAAUUUGCGGUAGCUAAAUUUUUUUCAUAUCUAUUUUUUACAUGUUUUAAUUCAUAUUUAAAAAGUAUUUUUCGAUUUUUUUUGCUGUGAUGAGAUGCUAACACGUAAGAGGUAGCAACUUUGUGUUGUUACCUCGAUGAAAUCCAUUUGUUACGCUUGGCUUCUGAGCAUAUUCUUUUAUAACUUGAAAAAUCUUGAGCUUAUUUAAUAUUCACAAUUCACCAAUUUUUACUUUCAAAUAAAUUUACUAGGUAUCAAACUAGCUUAUUUCAUAUGAUAUAUUUAAAGAUUAUCUCUAAUCAAAUAAAAAUUUUAAAAAUUGAUUAUUUGUGUGAAAGCACAAAAUUAUCCCUCACAAUAAAAAUUAAAAAAAUUGUCAAUUUUUUAUCUUCUCUCAAUUUUUCCAUACCACUGUUUUUCUCUCUCUCUCACUCUCGCACAUUCUCUUCAUAUCUUCUUCUCUCUCUCUCUCCCCGAACACAAACUAGAUAGUCCAUUUUCUAAUUAUGCUUUUGAUUAAGUCAACAACGAGCAUAUUGAUUUAAUUCAUAAAUUCAAAUGCAUUCUCUCUAUUGAUUCGCAUCGCCAACCGUAGUGUGUUAAUUAUGUGCGUCUCUUUGUAUUUUUGUAUGUGUGUGUUUCAGUAUUUAGGAAUGUUGAUUUCUAUUUUAUCGGUGAUAAAAAGUAGAAGAUGAUGAUAAUCUUAGCAAUGUGCAGACGCAGCAUCUGCUGGAAGUUAUUCUGGUUAUGCGAUGAGCGGCACUUUCCACACGAGAUUUCUGAUUCUCAGUUACUUUUUACGUUUGUACUUUUUCUCGAAAUUUAUCAACCAAAUAAUGUUAGCUGAAUCUUUAAUUGAAAUUUCACUUGACGUUUUCACUAAUCGAUUUGGUUAAUUGAGUCGGUUAUUUGCGUAACCGAGCAAUCAAAAAAAUGAACUUUAAAUCUGUAUCUAACGCAGUCAUUUCCAAAUAAGAAAACAUAGCAGAAUCUCAAUAGGAACUAAAAAAUUUAAAAAUAUGUUUCAUUAUUUACUUGAAUAAUCAAAUGUAAAUUAAAAAAUAUGUUUCAUUAUUUAUGAAAAUGCAAGGGAUGGUGAAGAAUAAAUAAUCUACUUGAAUAAUCAAAUUUGACUAUGCUCAGAAAAUAAUGAAAAUAAGAAGGAAUAAUAAAAUAGAGAGAUAAUUGGUAGUAGAAGGCAGAGGUGGAUGAAGAGUAGGUUCUACUAAAGAGCAAUAGUGAGUGAAAUUAUUUUCACUAACGUGCAGAUUUUUAAGAGUGAUAGUGAGUGGAAUUUGAGAAUGAAUCAAUAUAUCCAACCAUUUGUCGGGUCCACCACUAUACAACAAUAUUUCGAAAAACAUUUAAAUGUGUUGUUAAUAUAAGACAACUAUUCAGUUAAAUUCAAAGCGCCUCUAUUUCAAAAUCGAGCAUUUUGUAGAAGAGGCAAUAAAGGGGAUCGCCAAAAUUAUGCAUGAGAACAAGAAUGAAUAAUUUUCAACUUUGCAUCAGAGCAGAUGAGAGAUAGUUGACCAAAAGCUGAUUCGAGGUUGUAUAAAUGGUUGAUCACAUACACAGAGCUGUUUUUAUCUUUAUUUUAAAUAUUGAACUCAUUCAGAAGUAUUUUUACGUUUAUAUUUCAAGAAUUGAGCUCACUCAAUUCCCAGAGAUUACUCAUAACAGAGUUAUUUUUCUUCUUUGAUCAAUAAGCUCACUCAGACCUCAUUUUUACUUGUAUGUUAUGACAAUUGAGUUCACUCAAAGCCGAGUUUCACCUGCAUUUGGUAGAUACCAUACUUAAUCAUUUGAAUGUAUAGCAUGCUCCCUCGAUCUUUAAAUAAGUGUCAUAUGACACAAAAUUAUAC
rnacentral:lncRNA from 1 species